AGAGGACAGGAGAUACAAAAGAGGCCUGCAGGAGACCAGCCAUGGAGGAGGAUUACAAGAGACCACCACCAUCCUAUGAAGAAGUUAUCACCGAGCAGCACACGAGCAACACUAGUCAGAGCCGCUCCGCUGAUAACAAGCAGAGCGGCUGCUGCAGAUGUUGCAUUAGCACCAAGAACUGUCUGAUGAGUCCGGAGUGUGGUCGAGCUCUUAACAUCGCCAGCGUGAUUGCCAUGUGCGGCAUGUGCAUUCGAAUGUUUGUCUAACACAGUCUCCUGUGGACCAUCUAUUCCAGAUCUCUCAUCCAGUGGUGGUCUUCUCAAAUUAAAAAGGAAACAAAGACAUUUGCUCGGUUCCAAAACCUAGUGAUCUGCAACAUUUAUAAGCUUUCCCCCAAUACGAAUCCCAAUGCUGUUCCAAAUAGGAUGCAGCACUUCAUUUAUCAUUCACAGAUAAGGUAAUCCCAGAAUGAAUUGACUAAAAUUUCCAUUUCAAAUAGCAAAUGUCAAUUGCAAAGUAUAACUUAUAAACACAAAGUAUAUUUAAUUCAGUACUGACUAAUAUCAUUGAAAAACACUGCCAUGUCAUACAUUCUAGUCUCCUAUGUGAUUCAUGGGCCUCCUUCAUAAAAAAGUAGCACAGUAAAUUCAUAAAUCGUUUGUAAAAUCAUUCCUAUAUUAAGUGUGGCAUUUCAUUAAAUUGGCAUGAGUGACCACUUAAGGUGCAGUCACAUUUAUCAUUGUUAGAUGAAAUAGACAAGUCAUUUUAAAUAGGGAUCCAAG
ensembl:lncRNA